GGGACAAAAAGCAGGGUAUAAAGUUAACAACAACAACAACAACAACAACAACAACAACAACACAAUAUAAGACCUAUUGCAUGUUAAAUGUUCAGCAGAAUCAUGGAAAGAGAGGUUUAAUGAUUGUUUUUCUAUCUACUUCAAAAAGGUUGUCUCUGGGCUUGUCUACAUGAGAAAUGGACUGAAGGAAGUUUUUAUGAUGCACAGUGACUUUCAGUGCUUUUUUUCUUUUGGAGAAAAGGAACACAGGAGACAAAGGAAAUAUUAUCAGCAGUUAAUAAACGGCACUGUUCUCUGACUUCACAAGUAUACCAUUGCUGAAAUUCAGACACGUAUGUGGCAUGUGAAAUGAUUGAAGAGAAGAAGACCUGCCACUGUCUAUGGAGGCACUCCAGGAAUCAGUGGAAAUAGGUCUGACAAGAAGCUGGAGAAAAAAGCACUUUGAAAAUUAUAUGAAAUGUAGGAAGAGGAUGGAGGGGGAGAAAGAAACCCAUAAAAAUGGCAGCUUUUUGAGGUGAAAACAUUAAGAGUGUCCCAAGUUGGUACCUACUUGAAAAAAAAAAUUGCUUGUUUGAAAUAAAAAAAAAUGAAAAUGGA